rnacentral:rRNA from 1 species
UACGAAGGGGGCUAGCGUUGCUCGGAAUCACUGGGCGUAAAGGGCGCGUAGGCGGGUCUUUAAGUCCGGGGUGAAAUCCUGGAGCUCAACUCCAGAACUGCCUUUGAUACUGAAGAUCUUGAGUUCGGGAGAGGUGAGUGGAACUGCGAGUGUAGAGGUGAAAUUCGUAGAUAUUCGGAAGAACACCAGUGGCGAAGGCGGCUCACUGGACUGGUAUUGACGCUGAGGUGCGAAAGCGUGGGGAGCAAACAGG